UCGGACGACAAGGCACCCAACCCAAGCGUCGCGUUCGACGGGUGUACCCCAAGGCCCCCCGCCGAGACCCUUGGUGAUUUGUUUUUAGCCUUCCUGCACCAACACCCUCAGCUUGUGUAACGCUCACCUCCAUCUCUGGACGAUGGCCACCCCUCCCCGUCUCGCUUCCAGCUGCACCAUCCACUUGUAUGACGCUUAUCUCCGUCCCUGGACGAUGGCCACCCCUCCCUGUCUCGCUUCCAGCCGCAUCUCACCGGAAGCAUGCGAAGGAUGACGCGCGUCUUCUUCUUCUUGGUGGCGUGUAGAUCGGACAGGAUGUGAUGAACCAGCCUGUCAGACUCUACGGUAAUAAUAAUAAUAAAAUAAUCAAAAUGACCGA